rnacentral:rRNA from 1 species
GAUGAACGCUAGCGGCAGGCCUAACACAUGCAAGUCGAGGGAGAGGUUAUCUUCGGGUAACCAAAACCGGCGCACGGGUGCGUAACGCGUAUACAAUCUGCCUUUCACAUAGGGAUAGCCCGAAGAAAUUUGGAUUAAUACCUAAUGGUAUAUAGGAGCGGCAUCGUUUUUAUAUUAAAGCUACGGUGGUGAAAGAUGAGUAUGCGUUCUAUUAGCUAGUUGGAGAGGUAACGGCUCCCCAAGGCGACGAUAGAUAGGGGUUCUGAGAGGGAUGUCCCCCACACUGGUACUGAGAUACGGACCAGACUCCUACGGGAGGCAGCAGUGAGGAAUAUUGGACAAUGGUCGGAAGACUGAUCCAGCCAUGCCGCGUGCAGGAUGAAGGUCCUAUGGAUUGUAAACUGCUUUUGUAGGGGAAGAAUAAGGAGUACGUGUACUUUGAUGACGGUACCUUACGAAUAAGCAUCGGCUAACUCCGUGCCAGCAGCCGCGGUAAUACGGAGGAUGCGAGCGUUAUCCGGAAUCAUUGGGUUUAAAGGGUCCGUAGGCGGGCUGAUAAGUCAGAGGUGAAAGCGCUUAGCUCAACUAAGCAACUGCCUUUGAAACUGUCAGUCUUGAAUGAUUGUGAAGUAGUUGGAAUGUGUAGUGUAGCGGUGAAAUGCUUAGAUAUUACACAGAACACCGAUAGCGAAGGCAUAUUACUAACAAUUUAUUGACGCUGAUGGACGAAAGCGUGGGGAGCGAACAGG